AGAUCAGGUGAUGAGGUAAUACUGCAACAAUAUGAUGGAGUAAUCUUUGUGAUUAUUAGUAUUUAAGUCUCUGAUGAUCU
rnacentral:snoRNA from 14 species